AAGAAACAAAGCGGGUGAUGAUGGUACCAGGUGGAGGUCCGAAAAGUGUAUGAACUUCUCAGAACUUUCUUUAAAAUGAGGCUCUCAGAACAACAGAAAACUAUACAGCUUCCGGAUAUCCCCAAUGGUUCACAGUGGGUUCUCACUUUCACAGUGGCCUGAUACUGGUCACAUUGAGAAGAAGCCCUAGCUUGAGAAGUGAUAUCGUAGAAGUAGAAAGGAAGGAAUCUUUUCAAGUAGACACCCACUCCCUGGGGUCUGCAAAGAAACCUCAGCUUAUUUGACAAGGUCAGAGUCACCAGUACCCCAUGUCCUUGUUUGUGCACCACAGUUCAACAGCAUUUUCUGAAUCAUCUUGAUGAGAAGCCAACUAGAAGAAAACAUGAGAACCAGUUGGUAAGCAAGUUUUCCUUUGAUGUGUGUUAGUAUAAAAACCCAGUAUCUGACAUAGGCAAAUUUCUAUCUUCUAACACACACACACACACACACACACACACACACACAAACUGCUUUUAAGAGAAAGUUGUCACUUGAGCAAAAACUUUCAUCUUUAGCUGAUCCAAUGACGGGAAGCUAUUUGGCAUAGACUUAGUAAAACCUUCACGCAAAACCAGCAGAGGAACUGCCAGAGCUUCCAUAUAGGGUGUAACUUGAGGAGUCAUCCUGAUGCUGGAAGAGCCGUCCAGCUUUCCAGAAGGAGGCCAGUAAAAAGCGGGGAGAGAGGGGGACCGAUGUAUCCUACUUUGGAAAAGUUGUUUGCAUUCCACACACUUGUUCUAUCUCUCUUUAAUGAAGACAAAGCACCACCGGUGGAAGAAAUCCUUGUCAUAGCCUCACCCCAAAGGGACCGGCAGGGUUUGACAAAGCCAACGCCCCAGUUAUUUAGCAUCCUUCAGAGAUGAUAAGAUACUCAGGAGAAGGUAUUCAGGACCCACACUUUGUGUCCUGCUACAAGAGAUGGCCAGAGACGGAGUACACUAUAGAGCGCCAAGGAAAUAAGAUACUUCUCAAAUCUCAUCAUCAGGCGGCUGAAGAUGACCACAGCCCUAUCAGUGUGCAGAUGGAACGGCAGAUUUUCAACACCGGUUUUUCCUCUUCUUCUUUUUAA
rnacentral:lncRNA from 1 species